GUGCAUGAGAAAGGAAAACAAAAGUAAAAGAGAGUUGAGUUGAGGGGCUGUUUUUGCUACCAUUCAAGAAGGGAAAGAGAGCCAUUUAAGGGCUGAUUUUGGAGGCUGGAAAGAGUUGUUUUUCUGCUGGUUUUGGAGGUUGGAAAGUGCCAUUUUUCUGCUGAUUUUGGAGGCCAAAAAGUGCAGAAUUUUGCAGCAGAAAGUUUAAGGUUUGAGGUGUUAU
rnacentral:lncRNA from 1 species